rnacentral:rRNA from 1 species
UACGUAGGGUGCGAGCGUUAACCGGAAUUACUGGGCGUAAAGCGUGCGCAGGCGGUUCUAUAAGACAGAUGUGAAAUCCCCGGGCUCAACCUGGGAACUGCAUUUGUGACUGUAGAGCUGGAGUGCGGCAGAGGGGGAUGGAAUUCCGCGUGUAGCAGUGAAAUGCGUAGAUAUGCGGAGGAACACCGAUGGCGAAGGCAAUCCCCUGGGCCUGCACUGACGCUCAUGCACGAAAGCGUGGGGAGCAAACAGG